rnacentral:rRNA from 1 species
UACGUAGGUGGCAAGCGUUAUCCGGAUUUACUGGGUGUAAAGGGCGUGUAGGCGGGUCUGCAAGUCAGACGUGAAAUUCCAGGGCUCAACCGUGGAACUGCGUUUGAAACUGUAGAUCUUGAGUGAUGGAGAGGCAGGCGGAAUUCCGUGUGUAGCGGUGAAAUGCGUAGAUAUACGGAGGAACACCAGUGGCGAAGGCGGAUUGCUGGACAGUAACUGACGCUGAGGCGCGAAAGCGUGGGGAGCAA